GACGAACGCUGGCGGCGUGCCUAAUACAUGCAAGUCGAACGAACUCUGGUAUUGAUUGGUGCUUGCAUCAUGAUUUACAUUUGAGUGAGUGGCGAACUGGUGAGUAACACGUGGGAAACCUGCCCAGAAGCGGGGGAUAACACCUGGAAACAGAUGCUAAUACCGCAUAACAACUUGGACCGCAUGGUCCGAGUUUGAAAGAUGGCUUCGGCUAUCACUUUUGGAUGGUCCCGCGGCGUAUUAGCUAGAUGGUGGGGUAACGGCUCACCAUGGCAAUGAUACGUAGCCGACCUGAGAGGGUAAUCGGCCACAUUGGGACUGAGACACGGCCCAAACUCCUACGGGAGGCAGCAGUAGGGAAUCUUCCACAAUGGACGAAAGUCUGAUGGAGCAACGCCGCGUGAGUGAAGAAGGGUUUCGGCUCGUAAAACUCUGUUGUUAAAGAAGAACAUAUCUGAGAGUAACUGUUCAGGUAUUGACGGUAUUUAACCAGAAAGCCACGGCUAACUACGUGCCAGCAGCCGCGGCAAUACGUAGGUGGCAAGCGUUGUCCGGAUUUAUUGGGCGUAAAGCGAGCGCAGGCGGUUUUUUAAGUCUGAUGUGAAAGCCUUUGGCUCAACCGAAGAAGUGCAUCGGAAACUGGGAAACUUGAGUGCAGAAGAGGACAGUGGAACUCCAUGUGUAGCGGUGAAAUGCGUAGAUAUAUGGAAGAACACCAGUGGCGAAGGCGGCUGUCUGGUCUGUAACUGACGCUGAGGCUCGAAAGUAUGGGUAGCAAACAGGAUUAGAUACCCUGGUAGUCCAUACCGUAAACGAUGAAUGCUAAGUGUUGGAGGGUUUCCGCCCUUCAGUGCUGCAGCUAACGCAUUAAGCAUUCCGCCUGGGGAGUACGGCCGCAAGGCUGAAACUCAAAGGAAUUGACGGGGGCCCGCACAAGCGGUGGAGCAUGUGGUUUAAUUCGAAGCUACGCGAAGAACCUUACCAGGUCUUGACAUACUAUGCAAAUCUAAGAGAUUAGACGUUCCCUUCGGGGACAUGGAUACAGGUGGUGCAUGGUUGUCGUCAGCUCGUGUCGUGAGAUGUUGGGUUAAGUCCCGCAACGAGCGCAACCCUUAUUAUCAGUUGCCAGCAUUAAGUUGGGCACUCUGGUGAGACUGCCGGUGACAAACCGGAGGAAGGUGGGGAUGACGUCAAAUCAUCAUGCCCCUUAUGACCUGGGCUACACACGUGCUACAAUGGAUGGUACAACGAGUUGCGAACUCGCGAGAGUAAGCUAAUCUCUUAAAGCCAUUCUCAGUUCGGAUUGUAGGCUGCAACUCGCCUACAUGAAGUCGGAAUCGCUAGUAAUCGCGGAUCAGCAUGCCGCGGUGAAUACGUUCCCGGGCCUUGUACACACCGCCCGUCACACCAUGAGAGUUUGUAACACCCAAAGUCGGUGGGGUAACCUUUUAGGAACCAGCCGCCUAAGGUGGGACAGAUGAUUAGGGUG
rnacentral:rRNA from 2 species